AAAUUGAAGAGUUUGAUCAUGGCUCAGAUUGAACGCUGGCGGCAGGCCUAACACAUGCAAGUCGAACGGUAACAGAAAGCAGCUUGCUGCUUUGCUGAU
rnacentral:rRNA from 1 species